UUAAUAUGGACCAACAAAAACACAACUACCUAUAUAAAUCUCUUCAUGUGGAUCAAUACUUCGAGAUAUUAUACACGAAAUACUAAGACACUUUACAGAGAUGCUAUGAUGGCGAUGAAAAUUCUAUGAGAUGUAAAGUAAAAACCCAAGUGAACGACGCACUGCCCAAUCCCUUUGCUAAUAUUCCAUCUACCAGCGCAUAUUGCUCUCUUAAUGACUUUGGUUUGGAAGCCUCUUUGACAGCAGUCAGAAAUGCAUCACAGUUGAAAAAGUUGAGUUGGCUUUUUUUUGUCACCCAUACAACAAUGUAUAAACUAAGAGAUUUUGGUAACCAAUGAGACCCAUAUAGUUGUACCACCAAGACCCUCUCCCCUUGUAAUACUAUUUAGAUUUUUUUUGUUGUUUUUAUUAACAAGACAAAACAUUUCAACGCAAUAUAUUUCAUUGUAUAUCCGCAAUUAAUUGACUGAAGUAAAAAAAUGGGAAAAAUACCAAUUAUAUAAUUUAAUUAGGUCAAUUAAACGUGUAUUUGAAAGAAUAAUCAAUAAAUUGGUUUAUGGAGUUGACAAUCGGCUUAAUAUAUGCUAAUUGCAAAAUCGUUUAUUAAUAAUAAAAAUUUGUUUCUAGGACCGAUUUCAGCAAAAUUUUUAAUUGAAUACACACAUUUCUUAAUUUAAUCUAGAUGUUAAUUUUUUCUCUGUAUCUCUACACAAAAUGGGUAGCUCUAGCGUUUAGCUGUGUGUGUGUGGGUAUUUGAAUAUUGAUAUAAUGAGCAGAAAAUAAAAAAAAAAUACAAUAUAUUGCGAACAAAACAAAUGCAUCAAA
rnacentral:sRNA from 1 species